CAGUAGCCGCGGUAAUACGUAGGUGGCAAGCGUUGUCCGGAAUUAUUGGGCGUAAAGGGCUCGCAGGCGGUUUCUUAAGUCUGAUGUGAGAGCCCCCGGCUCAACCGGGGAGGGUCAUUGGAAACUGGGAAACUUGAGUGCAGAAGAGGAGAGUGGAAUUCCACGUGUAGCGGUGAAAUGCGUAGAGAUGUGGAGGAACACCAGUGGCGAAGGCGACUCUCUGGUCUGUAACUGACGCUGAGGAGCGAAAGCGUGGGGAGCGAACAGGAUUAGAUACCCCUGUAGUCCCUGUCUCUUAUAC
rnacentral:rRNA from 1 species